AGCGAACGCUGGCGGCAGGCCUAACACAUGCAAGUCGAACGAACUCUUCGGAGUUAGUGGCGGACGGGUGAGUAACACGUGGGAACGUGCCUUUAGGUUCGGAAUAACUCAGGGAAACUUGUGCUAAUACCGAAUGUGCCCUUCGGGGGAAAGAUUUAUCGCCUUUAGAGCGGCCCGCGUCUGAUUAGCUAGUUGGUGAGGUAAUGGCUCACCAAGGCUACGAUCAGUAGCUGGUCUGAGAGGAUGACCAGCCACAUUGGGACUGAGACACGGCCCAAACUCCUACGGGAGGCAGCAGUGGGGAAUCUUGCGCAAUGGGCGAAAGCCUGACGCAGCCAUGCCGCGUGGAUGGUGAAGGUCUUAGGAUUGUGAAAUCCUUUCACCGGUGAAGAUAAUGACUGUAGCCGGAGAAGAAGCCCCGGCUAACUUCGUGCCAGCCGCCGCGGUAAAAC
rnacentral:rRNA from 1 species